rnacentral:rRNA from 1 species
CAGCAGCCGCGGGAAUACGAAGGGUGCAAGCGUUACUCGGAAUUACUGGGCGUAAAGCGUGCGUAGGUGGUUGUUUAAGUCUGUUGUGAAAGCCCUGGGCUCAACCUGGGAAUUGCAGUGGAUACUGGGUCACUAGAGUGUGGUAGAGGAUAGUGGAAUUUCCGGUGUAGCAGUGAAAUGCGUAGAGAUCGGAAGGAACAUCUGUGGCGAAGGCGACUAUCUGGGCCAACACUGACACUGAGGCACGAAAGCGUGGGGAGCAAACAGGAUUAGAUACCCCAGUAGUCCCUGUCUCUUAUAC